rnacentral:tRNA from 1 species
GGCGGUGUGACACUGCCGGCACCGUUGUAGAGCGCAGCCCGGAAAAGGCUGGCGGCGGUUCGAUUCCGUCCCUCGCUACCA